CAGUCGCCGCGGUAAUACGUAGGUGGCAAGCGUUGUCCGGAAUUAUUGGGCGUAAAGGGCUCGCAGGCGGUUUCUUAAGUCUGAUGUGAAAGCCCCCGGCUCAACCGGGGAGGGUCAUUGGAAACUGGGAAACUUGAGUGCAGAAGAGGAGAGUGGAAUUCCACGUGUAGCGGUGAAAUGCGUAGAGAUGUGGAGGAACACCAGUGGCGAAGGCGACUCUCUGGUCUGUAACUGACGCUGAGGAGCGAAAGCGUGGGGAGCGAACAGGAUUAGAGACCCGUGUAGUCCCUGUCUCUUAUCC
rnacentral:rRNA from 1 species